rnacentral:rRNA from 1 species
UUAACUUGAGAGUUUGAUUCUGGCUCAGAACGAACGCUGGCGGCGUGCCUAACACAUGCAAGUCGAACGCCCUGCACCGCAAGGUGCAGGGAGUGGCGCACGGGUGAGUAACGCGUGGGUAACCUCCCCUUUACUGUGGAAUAACCUCGGGAAACCGGGGCUAAUACCGCAUACGUCCAUGCACCAUAUGGUGUAUGGGGAAAGGUGACCUCUCCUUGGAAGUUAUCGGUAAGGGAUGGGCCUGCGUGCCAUUAGCUAGUUGGUAGGGUAAUGGCCUACCAAGGCUUCGAUGGCUAGCUGAUCUGAGAGGAUGAUCAGCCACACUGGAACUGAAACACGGUCCAGACUCCUACGGGAGGCAGCAGUGGGGAAUAUUGCGCAAUGGGCGAAAGCCUGACGCAGCAACGCCGCGUG